rnacentral:lncRNA from 1 species
UGGAGACUAUAAAAGGGUAUGCAUGGAAGUCUAGAGAUCACAGAAAACACACACUUCAUUUCUUAAGAAAAAAGUUGUUGAAGUUUGAAGAGAUCAUGAGGGCAAUAUAUAUUAUCAGCAUCAUUAUAGUGAGCUUGAGCAUUUUCUCUUGUGGUGGGAAUGCUCGACCUCUUCCUGCUAAUACAGAUUAUCCAUGGGCAAUGUUUGCCCUAAGGCUUCAAUGGCCAGCUGGAUUUUGCGAGGUCAACAAUGAGUGUGAUACAAAGUCUCUCCUCAACACAUUUACCAUUCACGGCCUUUAUCCCUAUAACUCGAAGAUGACCCCAGGGUUAUAUUGUGACGGAACUGCCUUUGAUGUCAACUCUGUGAGUUCUCUCAGUCUGCAUUUAAUUUAUAAUACUUGUUAAAAUCCUUGCUCUAUUGUCUAUUAAAUAUGUUUUUUUGUGCUAACAUUUAUAUUUAUCUUGAAGAGUUGGAUAUGUUUGUUUGAUAAAAAUAAAUGAAAUUGCAUGUACAUGCAAUCUAUCCACAUGUUAAACUAAUUUCUCUUCUCCAUUAUUUUGAAAAUUAACAGGUAUCGGACUUUCAAGCAGAAAUGCAUCUUGCAUGGCCGAGUCAUGAAACUAACACUGAAGACAAACAAUUCUGGGAACACGAGUGGAAGAAACAUGGAAGGUGCUCAGAAGCUUUGUUGAAGCAGACUGAUUAUUUUAGAACGGCGCUUGAUUUUAGAAAGGCAUUUGAUAUAAUUGGGCUACUAAACCAGGAAGGUAAAUAUAUAAUUAACUAGUCUUUAAUUUGGUUCAUUGCUUCCUAAGGGGACAAACAAUGAGAUUACUAUUCAAAAAUGUGUAGGGAUUUACCCGAAUAACGACCUUUAUCGUCCUAAAAUGAUAAAAGAAGCAAUCAAAAAGCACUUGAAUGCUGUGCCAGAAGUCGAUUUCACCAAAAACGAAAACUCGGAAUAUGUGCUUACGGAUAUUAAUCUAUGUGUGAACCAACAAGCAACAAGGUUCGUAGAUUGCCCUACCGAUGACGCUACUGAUGAUUACCGCCUCAAAUUCGUAAGACUACCUUCUAAAAUGAAAACUGCGGAUCCGAGGACCAAUUCUAUAAUAUAGCACAAAUGGUACGGCUACAAAAUGGACUACUAUCUUGUUUAAUUAAUGCUUUUGGGAGUAUUAUCUAUGUAAAAUAGUUGAGUGCUAGGGUUGGAUAAUUAGUACUAUGAGGCCAACCUUUAGUACCUUGAAUAAUGUCCAUGUAGCAAAAGUUUAUGCCACUCUGGCCUUGGUGUGUAUGGAUAAUUAUAAUAAAUAACUACUUUUAUCAGCAAAAAAAUUAAAAUCCAAGUAUUUUCUUUUGUUUUUAUUUUUGAUAAGAACUUAAUUUUAUGUAGUUUGAUGGCAUUGUUUAUCUAGGAAACUGAUAUUUCCAC